UAGGGAAUCUUCGGCAAUGGGGGCAACCCUGACCGAGCAACGCCGCGUGAGUGAAGAAGGUUUUCGGAUCGUAAAGCUCUGUUGUAAGAGAAGAACGUGUGUGAGAGUGGAAAGUUCACACAGUGACGGUAACUUACCAGAAAGGGACGGCUAACUACGUGCCAGCAGCCGCGGUAAUACGUAGGUCCCGAGCGUUGUCCGGAUUUAUUGGGCGUAAAGCGAGCGCAGGCGGUUUAAUAAAUCUGAAGUUCAAGGCAGUGGCUUAACCAUUGUUGGCUUUGGUAACUGUUAAACUUGAGUGCAGAAGGGGGGAGUGGAAUUCCAUGUGUAGCGGUGAAAGGCGUAGAUAUAUGGAGGAACACCGGUGGCGAAAGCGGCUCUCUGGUCUGUAACUGACGCUGAGGCUCGAAAGCGUGGGGAGCAAACAGG
rnacentral:rRNA from 1 species